UACGGGGGGGGCAAGCGUUGUUCGGAAUUACUGGGCGUAAAGGGCUCGUAGGCGGCCAACUAAGUCAGACGUGAAAUCCCUCGGCUUAACCGGGGAACUGCAUCUGAUACUGGAUGGCUUGAGUUCGGGAGAGGGAUGCGGAAUUCCAGGUGUAGCGGUGAAAUGCGUAGAUAUUGGGAAGAACACCGGUGGCGAAGGCGCUCUACUGGGCCAUAACUGACACUGAUGGACGAAAGCUAGGGGAGCGAAAGGG
rnacentral:rRNA from 1 species